CAAGUGGGCAAGUAGUAAUAGUUUGGUGCCUACUCCCUCUGCCGUUACCCAGUUAGUCUCUCUCUGUCACACCGCAAUACGUCACUAAUUGGGCAAUGGGUUGCGAUUGAUUAGGCUACCUGACAUAUUACCCACAGGCUUAUGUAUAGGCACCCGGGGUCCUAAAGCCGGUAGCUCGUCAACACCACUGGUUCUGGGAUUGUGUAGCAGAGUCACGGGUGCUGCGUGAAAUAAACAGGAGGGCAGACGCUGGCAGAGCCGCUGUGUUUUGAUGUACGUGUGUGGGCGUGACGCCGUGUUGUGUGCAAAAAGUGUCUGCUGGGCACUGUUACCAUAGCAGAGAGGGCAGUUAUUCUCCAGAAGCCAUCAGCCACAGUGUAGUAGCCAUCUUGAAAAGGUAUGUGUUAAACCCUGAUACGUGUACUGUGUUGCGUACCAGCAGGCCAUAGCGGCCAUUCAUUUUGCGCUGACAAGUGACGACACUAAUGUAGGCUGGCUGACUAACACUUUGCCCUGUAUUGCUGUUUUUAAUUGAUGUAAUGCCAUCACCUCUCCCAUGUGUGCUGCUUUUAAGGCUGUGGGAUCUUAACAGUGUUUGUUUUAUAUGUUUGCAGCGUUAGACCCUCGCAGCUACCCAGGGCUGCUAGUUGCUGUUCUUUUAAUGUGUAUUUGAUGCAUUGGUGCCGCGUAUAGUUUGUUUACUUUUUUUUUGUUCCUCUAGCCUAUCGGCCUAAGUAGCUUGUGUAGGUACUACCUAUUUAAUGUGAGCCGCAGGCUAGAGUGGAUUUAUUUUGUUUGUUUUUCUUUUUUACUGUACUUCCAGUUCGUGUGUCUCCCUCCCCCCUCCACAGCUAAUAGCCUCGGUGCUUAUAAGGCCCAUUAGUACCUGACCUUGGAUAGCUGGUCUCUGUAGUUUUUCUCACUCUAGUAGCCUACAGAGAUUGCAGUGUGCAUGUAGUUUGAACUCUUAAUUGCCGUGUCACAUAUCACAGAGUGUCUUGGAUAUUGUAGUGCAUUUUCCCUGAAUCUAAAACACGUGUUAUUUAGUGCACACAAGACCACGUGUGUUAGAGACCUGGCCUGACAUCAGUUCUCCUAGUGGCCCAGUACCGAGGUUCCCCAGUCCCCCUAUUGUGUCUAUGUAUUUUUUUGUAUUAUAUCUGGUGACCAACCAACGCUACUCGUGUCUACUAUUUAUUAAUAAAGACUAUUUUUAUACUUUCACCAAAAACUGGCAAUAGUGUUAUUGAGUUCCCCUUGCUCUGACAUAAUUUAGCCCACUUCAAGGGGUGGCGUAGUCAACAGUACCCGAGAGGGCGCUACAUUUACAAUUUUAAUAAAGCAUGAAGCUAACAACAGGGUUUUUCCUGCAUAGAGAGCGCCUAAGGCAAAAAA
ensembl:lncRNA